GAGAAAGAAGUGUAAAAGGAGAUGCGACUGGCUUGAAACCAGUAUAAGGUGGUUCGAUUCCCCCCUUUCUUG
rnacentral:tRNA from 3 species